rnacentral:rRNA from 1 species
UGGGGAAUAUUGCACAAUGGGCGAAAGCCUGAUGCAGCGACGCCGCGUGAGGGAUGACGGCCUUCGGGUUGUAAACCUCUUUCAGUAGGGACGAAGCGCAAGUGACGGUACCUGCAGAAGAAGCACCGGCUAACUACGUGCCAGCAGCCGCGGUAAUACGUAGGGUGCGAGCGUUGUCCGGAAUUACUGGGCGUAAAGAGCUCGUAGGCGGUUUGUCACGUCGUCUGUGAAAUCCUAGGGCUUAACCCUGGACGUGCAGGCGAUACGGGCUGACUUGAGUACUACAGGGGAGACUGGAAGUUCUGGUGUAGCGGUGGAAUGCACAGAUAUCAGGAAGAGCACCGAUGGCGAAGGCAGGUCUCUGGGUAGUAAAUGACGCUAAGGAGCGAAAGCAUGGGUAGCGAACAGG